GGGAGCAGCCGUAAAAUCCGCACGCUUAUCAUGACUGGCCGUUUGGGUGCUUUUUAAAAGUGAACGAUCAGGAUAAGCGGAGGUUUAAC
rnacentral:sRNA from 1 species